rnacentral:rRNA from 1 species
UGCAGAAUCCCGUGAAUCAUCGAGUUUUUGAACGCAAGUUGCGCCCGAUGCCAUUCGGCGGAGGGCACGCCUGCCUGGGCGUCACGU